CACAUACUCCCUCCGUCCGACAAUACUUGUCAUCGAAAUGGAUAAAAAGGGAUGUAUCUAGAACUAGAAUACGUCUAGAUACAUCUCCUUUUAUUCAUUUUGAUGACAAGUAUUUUCGGACGGAGGGAGUAUUAC
rnacentral:pre_miRNA from 1 species